rnacentral:lncRNA from 9 species
CACGCCCUUGGGUGCGCACGGAGUCCAAAGGCCCAUCUGGAGAGAUUCUGCCUGAGCUAGUUCUCCCUCUCAAGGCCCUCAUCCGGAUUCUUGCCUGUCUGCUUGCCCACAUGGGGAUUUCGGGGUUGAGGGUCUCACCCCUCCGACUUCUCCCGGCUGGUCCCUCCGCUCAGGGCACAGCGCGCCACACGCGGACGCGAGCGCGAGCAGCCAGGACCCGCGGGAGAAGUCGGUCCUCACUUCUCCUCUGGCCGCUCCUCUGCGUCCGCUGGCACUAAAACCCCACCAAGGGGGCUGGGCCGGGGGAUGCAGACGCUAAGGUGGACUGGGGGUGGGGGUGCUCCUCUCAAGGUGCCCAGACGCGCGACUGGCCGGAGAGGCUGCACGCGCGCCCACCCGGCCUCUGCUCUCCCACCUGGGGCUAGCCUCCUCCGCGACGGCGAGGCGCGCAGCUCCCAUCCCAACCCCGACCCCGAGUCCAGCCCGAGGAGCAGUCCGUUCCCGGCCAGAGCCUUCCAGAGCCCAGGGGCCCCCAGCCUUGCUGGGAGGAUGCACCCAGCCUACGUCCUGCCGGCGCCUUCCCAAACCACCGCCACACUCGCUUUCACACCCGCUGGAAGAGUGACGCGUCCGGGCAGAGCGAUCACAGAUAAACCAAAUCUUUGAGUGUGUGAGAAGGAAAAGAAGCCGCGGCCGGGCCGCUGAUGAUGAGGGGACGAUGAACUUCUCACCUUUCUUUAACUCAGAGCAACUCGUCCUUUAAAAAAAUCCACGCCGCCGUGGGUGUGUAUUUCACUGUUAAUUGCGUUUUGCUGGGAUGAUCUUUUACGACUGGAAAACAAGCGGCUGGGAAAAUAUUCACGUUUGGGACAGAAAACAUUUUUUAUUUAUAUCUUUGACAUUUAAAAGAGCAGAAUUAAUUUGUCCUGUCUACAUUAGCAUUGAGAGAAAGUUUCAGAAAUCUACCCGGGGGAAGAGGACGGUGAAAAAAAAAAGAAAAAAGAAAGCGAAUAAAAGAAAGGAAAAAGAAAAGCUAGGCUUGGUUUUUCUUAUUUCAGAUCUGUAAUCAAUCAUUGACAUAGGAGGCAGCAAAAUUGUAAAGAUUCGAUAGAUUAAAAUGCAAAUGAAAGGUAGAAAAAGAAACAUUAACAUGGCGAUCAAAGAUUUAAUAACCGUAAAUCAAGUUUUUUUUCCUCUGUUGCAGCUGCAGUUUGUGUGUGUGUUUAUGUUUUAAUCAUGUUCUUUCUAUAAAUAAAUAAUAUCUGAAACGAGACUAAUUUUUCAUUAUUUUAACCGUGGGCUAUAACACUAAAUAUUAAAAAUAGAAAACGUACCGGAUGCCAGAUCCCCAACCAAAUAAGAGAAAGACUUGUGUUGAUUGGUUAAAAUCGAGGGAGUUCAUUUGUAUGUUUUGAAAAUCAGAGUAUUAUGCUAAAAAAUUCUAUCUCAACUGACAAAGCCCAAAGUUUUAUUUUCCCUUUGAUAUUUUAUGUUAACGACAAGACACCAUUUAUAUUAAAUAUAUGCGUGACUGCAUAUCCAUUUCAGUUUGAGCCUUAUCAAAGAACGAAAGUGCCAGAAUAUUUAAAUAAUACAAAACAUAUAUUAUUUCAAAGUGAUCUGACAGAAUUCCUGGAAAAUAAUACGUAUUAGAAGAAUCUGCCUUCUAGAGAAAAAUUAAGUGAUGGUUCGACAGAGUUAAAACUCUUUUUAGCUUAAUAUUAAAGUUCUUUUUUCUAAAGGGGAGUAUUUUUGCCCUUUGUUUUUCUAUCAUUCGAUUUAAGGUUUUAUGUCAAGGUGUCAAAUGAUCAAGACAGUAUUUUAUUUAACUAGUAUUAGUAUCCAUUUUCUCAUAUGGUGAAGGCUUUUCAUUUAAACAUUUUUAUGUAAAAUACUGAUUUAUGUGGUUUAGAAAUUAUUUGUAGAAUAUUUAAAAUAAACCCCUGAUCCUCAUCUUUUUUUUUUUUUUUUUUUUUGUAGCUUUAUUAGCAUGGAAGAAUUCACCUUCAGAAGAUUGGAAACUUUUCUUUUUGGUUAUACAGGUUUGCAACGUUAAAAGUCAAUUCUUCGCUUAAUUUUGUCUUUGAAGGAGUUACCCUAAUUUAUUGAGAUGAUGAAUUAAAAUUGUCUCCAUUUCUCCUCUUUCCACAAAUUAAAAUGAUAACCAAACUUGGCAUCAUUGUUUCCUUGAUAAAAGCUUUCAGUUACAUGUGAGCUAAGUUGAAGUCUACUCCCUCCAUCCCAACCACACAAGCACAGUUUUCACUCUGACACUCCAAUAAUGCACUUAGUUUAAAAUUACACUUGGACCUUUCCUCCUUUGUAUUUUUUCAUUUACUUCAGUGCAACAAGAUGACUUGAUUUUCUUGGGAUUACAUGAACUCCAUUCAGUGUUACUGGGACAUUUCUGCUCAACUAAAUACUUGCCUUAAUAGACAAAUGAACUCCUUUUUAUUUGCUGGAGUUUGUAGACAGUUUUAGAUACAGAGCGUGCAACUGAUUUAGUUAUUGUUGUUGUGAGAAUCGAACAGGCACAAAAGUCAUUUAUCUAAACCAAAGAGAUAUGACUCUGUAAAGGGGAG